rnacentral:rRNA from 1 species
AUACGUAGGUGGCAAGCGUUGUCCGGAUUUACUGGGCGUAAAGGGAGCGUAGGUGGAUAUUUAAGUGGGAUGUGAAAUACUCGGGCUUAACCUGGGUGCUGCAUUCCAAACUGGAUAUCUAGAGUGCAGGAGAGGAAAGGAGAAUUCCUAGUGUAGCGGUGAAAUGCGUAGAGAUUAGGAAGAAUACCAGUGGCGAAGGCGCCUUUCUGGACUGUAACUGACACUGAGGAUCGAAAGGGUGGGGAGCAAACAGGAUUAGAUGCCCUGGUAGUCCACGCCGUAAACGAUGAAUACUAGGUGUAGGGGUUGUCAUGACCUCUGUGCCGCCGCUAACGCAUUAAGUAUUCCGCCUGGGGAGUACGGUCGCAAGAUUAAAACUCAAAUGAAUUGACGGGG